UACGUAGGGGGCAAGCGUUGUCCGGAUUUAUUGGGCGUAAAGAGCGUGUAGGCGGUUUGGUAGGUCCGCUGUGAAAACUCGAGGCUCAACCUCGAGAUGUCGGCGGAAACCACUUGGCUAGAGUCCGGAAGAGGAGAGUGGAAUUCCCGGUGUAGCGGUGAAAUGCGCAGAUAUCAGGAGGAACACCGGUGGCGAAGGCGGGUCUCUGGGCCGAUACUGACGCUGAGGAGCGAAAGCGUGGGGAGCGAACAGG
rnacentral:rRNA from 1 species